rnacentral:rRNA from 1 species
UCUUCUGUCUACGCCUUUUUAAGGGUUUUUAACAAGCUCAGUAUGAACGCUGGCGGCAGAUCUAACACAUGCAAGUCGAGCGGAUGAAGGGAGUGUGCUCCUGGAUUCAGCUGCGGACGGGUGAGUAAUGCCUAGGAAUCUGCCUGGUAGUGGGGGAUAACGUCCGGAAACGGGCGCUAAUACCGCAUACGUCCUGAGGGAGAAAGUGUUGGAUCUUCGGACCUCACGCUAUCAGAUGAGCCUAGGUCGGAUUAGCUAGUUGGUGGGGUAAAGGCCUACCAAGGCGACGAUCCGUAACUGGUCUGAGAGGAUGAUCAGUCACACUGGAACUGAGACACGGUCCAGACUCCUACGGGAGGCAGCAGUGGGGAAUAUUGGACAAUGGGCGAAAGCCUGAUUCAGCCAUGCCGCGUGUGUGAAGAAGGUCUUCGGAUUGUAAAGCACUUUAAGUUGGGAGGAAGGGCAGUAAGUUAAUACCUUGCUGUUUUGACGUUACCAACAGAAUAAGCACCGGCUAACUUCGUGCCAGCAGCCGCGGUAAUACGAAGUGUGCAAGCGUUAAUCGGCUAUUACUGGGCGUAAAGCGGUGUCGUAGGUGGUUCAGCAAGUUGGAUGUGAAAUCCCCGGGCUCAACCUGUUAACUGCAUCCAAUUUCUACUGAGGUAGAGUACGGUAAUGAGUGGUGGAAUUUCCUGUGGAGCGGUGAAAUGCGUAGAUAUAGUGAGGAACACCAGUGGCGAAGGCGACCACCUGGACUGAUACUGGGUACUGAGUUGCGAAAGACGGG